GGCCCAUAGCUCAGUGGUAGAGCAUCUGCUGGGCAUACAGAAGGUCCAAUAUCCAAUCCCUUGCAAGGCCU